ensembl:lncRNA
GGAAGCCUUGGAGGGUAUGCAGGUAUGGAUUCUGUGAGCAAUAGUAAUAUAUGGCUGUGGUGUGGAGGAGUGUUGUGUUAGGAGGCUCCCUUCUGGGGCUAAAGGCACAGUGUUCCUGGUGCUGUGCUGGCUCAUUGCGUUGUGAAGAUUAUUCUUGUGUGGAUAUACAUGUACUGACUUGCUUGGUCUGACCCUAGCCUACUCUCUGACUGUAAGACACCUGUGCUGGUGGAGAAGGUGCAGCAGCCCUGGGG